rnacentral:rRNA from 1 species
UACGUAGGGUCCGAGCGUUGUCCGGAAUUAUUGGGCGUAAAGGGCUCGUAGGCGGUCUGUCGCGUCGGGAGUGAAAACUUACAGCUUAACUGUGAGCGUGCUUCCGAUACGGGCAGACUUGAGGUAUUCAGGGGAGAACGGAAUUCCUGGUGUAGCGGUGAAAUGCGCAGAUAUCAGGAGGAACACCGGUGGCGAAGGCGGGUCUCUGGGCAACAACUGACGCUGAGGAGCGAAAGCGUGGGGAGCAACAGGAUUAGA